AUUGGAAAUUGCCCUGUCGCGGCUCUUAAUUGAGAUGAGGAAAGUCCGGACAACGUAGUGCGCCACACCAUCUAACGGAUGGGCAUGUUUUAACAUGACAGAUAGGGUCGCAGAAAAUUACCGCCGGCUUGCCGGUAAGGGUGAAAACGGGAGGUAAGAGCUCCCGCAUCGGUUGGGUAACCAGUCAGUGGGAUAAACCUUGUGGGUUGAAAUGCCAUGUAUAUCCUGGGUUCCUUCGGGAGGUGGAGUUGCACGCUCUACUGGAAACGGUCAGGAGGGGUAGGCAGAUUGAGCUUUGGUGUGAACCUAAGCCUAGAUAAAUGACAGGGAACCUUUCGGGGUUACAGAAUCCGGCUUAUAGAUUUCCACUUUUU
rnacentral:RNase_P_RNA from 1 species